rnacentral:lncRNA from 1 species
AGCUUUCAUCAAAAUUGUGAGGUUCAAAUUAAAAAAUUGGGAAAAACUUUAUUAGUAAACUAGAAAGCUUUCGUGAUUACAUUAGAUAUAUUGGACAUGUUAAGGUAUUGAAGGAGACUAAAGAGGUAUAUUAAUUUUUAGUGAUUUUUUAUGAGAAUUGUAUUUUGUUUAUUUUAUGUUAUUUAUAUUUUGAUUGUAUUGUAUUAUUUAUAAACUCCAUUUAUAUUUUGAUUGUAUUCUAUUAUUUAUAAACUCCAUUUAUAUUUUGAUUGUAUUGUAUUAUUUAUAAACUCCAUAUAGUCUUGUAAUGGAGAUCGAUUUCGUGAAAGAUAGAAUUCAGGGAAUUUUUUGAGACGAGGAAAUUUUUUCUCUUAUCUUCAAAAGAGAUAAGAAAUAGAUUUGAAAACGCAAUAGUCAUCUAUUAGAUUUAUCUCUCUACAAGUUUUAGAGACUGAGGACCAUUUCUACUGGGAUCCGAUUGAAACUAGGAAGUAAGUGAAUUUUAGUGGGUUUCUUUUUUUAUAAAAAAAAGAAAAAGAAUCAAAGACUUAAUAUUAGGAAUACAGUUUCUGUCACUAAGUUUUGAAGAAGAUAAAAUGACUUGUUUUUGUUGGUGGGCAAACAAUCUCUUUCUAGAAUCUAGACAUCCAUCAUAAAAGAUAAUUUUUUUUUAAAAGAAUUAUUUGGAUUCUCGUCGUCCAUCAAAAAGGAUAAUAGAUUUCAAUAGCAUUGUUUACACAGUUUUCUUUUUUUGUUAAUUCAACAAGAGAGCUACCUAAUCUCAAAACCAUGGAGACCAGAGAGAAACAGAGAAACACUAGCAAGCUCAAGUAAACUAGCAAACUGAAAAGGUCCUUGAACAAAACAUUGAUACCUUAAUUGCCCCUUUUUGGUGCUGAUUAGUGUAUGCAAUUUGGGCGGUCCAACUCCGAACCAGGCGGUUAAAGGCAUUAGCCCAUCUGGUUUUGGUGAUCUGACCAGAUAUUAAAAAAAAAAAAAAUUAUCCCUAUAUGUUUCCUAGAGAGACUUCCCAUUCCCCACCCCUCCCUAUAUGGAGGGAGAUAUUAGUUGUGAAAUCCAAAUUUUCUAGUUUCUUAGAGACGGAAAGCCGGAUGGGUGGGUACAUGUAGAGAGAUAUCAGUUGUAAAAUUCAAAUUUUCUAGUUUCUAAGAGAUGGAAUAGUUUCUUAGAAACAGAAAGAGAGAGUGGGGGUGGACCAUUCCUUGAUUCCUCGCUUUCUUUCCUUCAACUUUAAUAAUCAAAUCUCUCCACUUUGUAUAUAUUUUAUAUGAUACAUAAAUACAUUUUGUUUGUAAAAAUCUAUGACUUUUUUACUUAAAGAGCAAAGGUGAAAAAACAAUAUCUCAACUUCUUCUCUUUGCCUAUCCCUGUCUCUCAUUUUUCAGGUACAGCCGAGUGAACGUGAAGAAAGAAUAUUUAAACUUCUUCUCUCUAUACAUCCUUAUCUCUCAUUUCUUAGGUACAGUCGAGUCAACUCAGGAAACAAAGAUUUUCAUGGCUGAUUUUAUUGUGAAAGAGCAGCUGAUUUCAUUGUGAAAGACCGGCUGAUUUCAUUUUAUUGUGAAAGAGCCAAACUGAUUGAUUUCAUUGUGAAAGAGCCAAAGAAACUGCUAAACUGCUUACCAUGUGAUAGAAAUUGAUCGGAAAUUGUUGGUGAAGCACGCUACCACCCUCUCAAUGGCAAAGAGAGUAAUCUUUUGCUUCUGGUGUUCAAGAAUCUAAUCAUUCCAAUCAAACCAUCGCAAUGUAAGAACAUGCAGAAAUUGACCGAAUUCAACAGCGUGAUAACCAACGCAGCUCCUUGCCGGUAUCCGAGCAAAUCCCACUCACUUGGUUCACUUGAUAAAGAUCAUUUUCGCGAGACAGCUCAUUCUUGGUCUUCUUAAUUACGAUCUCCUUAACUCUUGGUCUUCUUGAUUACGAUAUUCUUAAGUCAAAUGAUUCUCCAUAGGCCAAGGCCUUAUAUAUCAAUAUGAAGGCAUUUCAUUACUAAUGCCUAGCCCUCAAUAUGAAGGCAUUUCAUUACUAAUGCCCGGCCCUCUUACUAAAAGUUUGACUUAUGUGAUCUAGCCGGUGCAU